rnacentral:rRNA from 1 species
CGCUGGCGGCAGGCCUAACACAUGCAAGUCGAGCGCACCCUUCGGGGCGAGCGGCGGACGGGUUAGUAACGCGUGGGAACGUACCCUUUUCUAUGGAAUAGCCUCGGGAAACUGAGAGUAAUACCAUAUAAGCCCUUCGGGGGAAAGAUUUAUCGGGAAAGGAUCGGCCCGCGUUAGAUUAGAUAGUUGGUGGGGUAAUGGCCUACCAAGUCUACGAUCUAUAGCUGGUUUUAGAGGAUGAUCAGCAACACUGGGACUGAGACACGGCCCAGACUCCUACGGGAGGCAGCAGUGGGGAAUCUUAGACAAUGGGCGCAAGCCUGAUCUAGCCAUGCCGCGUGUGUGAUGAAGGUCUUAGGAUCGUAAAGCACUUUCGCCAGGGAUGAUAAUGACAGUACCUGGUAAAGAAACCCCGGCCUAACUCCGUG